CUGGCGACGGAAAUCACUAUACGUUGACGUAUACAGACAACGAUGAACAAUGGAAAAUGGCCGGAGACAUCCCUUGGGAAAAUUUUCUGAGUACAGUUCAAGUAUUGAUCCUUUGGAGGCCGAAACCCGAACCAACCACUUUACAACUCUUCAAAUGAAGUGAACCAUUAUCUAAAUAUUUUUGUAUUACAAAGUCAACUUAUAUAAUUUAUAUAAACAAAAACUAUACUUUUACCAACUAUUUAAACAAUACUCGUCUCUCUUAUUAUUAGUCAAAUUGUGUAAUUAGUUAAUAUUAAUGAGGAAGAUGUGAGUUUAUUACUUAUAUAACCAUUCAAAAUCCGUUUUGGAGAUGUGAGUUAAUCUUGAACACAUCAACGAGCA